rnacentral:rRNA from 1 species
GAUGAAUGCUGGCGACGUGCCUUAAGCAUGCAAGUCGAGCGAGAUGGUAGCAAUAUCAUCUAGCGGCGGACGGCUGAGUAACGCGUAGGAAUCUGCCUUAAAGUGCGGGAUACCUCCUCGAAAGAGGAGCUAAUACCGCAUGUGAACGAAAGUUUAAAGGAGCUAACCCUCCGCUUUAAGAUGAGCCUGCGUCCUAUCAGUUUGUUGGUGGGGUAAAAGCCUACCAAGACUAUGACGGGUAGGGGGUGUGAGAGCAUGGCCCCCCAGAAUGGAACUGAGACACGGUCCAUACACCUACGGGUGGCAGCAACUGGGAAUCUUCGACAAUGGGCGAAAGCCUGAUCGAGCGACGUCGCGUGGGGGAUGAAGGCCUUCGGGUUGUAAACUCCUUUUGCUAGAGAACAAUCUAAUUGAGUUAACCUAGCGAAUAAGCACCUGCAAACUACGUG